AUACGUAGGUCCCGAACGUUGCGCGAAAUUACUGGGCGUAAAGGGUCCGUAGGCGGUCUGGUAAGUGGAAGGUGAAAGCCUGGGGCUCAACUCCAGAAUUGCCUUCCAAACUGCCGGACUUGAGGCAGGGAGAGGUCGGCGGAAUUCCCGGUGUAGUGGUGGAAUGCGUAGAUAUCGGGAGGAACACCAGUGGCGAAGGCGGCCGACUGGAACUGUCCUGACGCUGAGGGACGAAAGCCAGGGGAGCGAACCGGAUUAGAAACCCUAGUAGUCC
rnacentral:rRNA from 1 species